GCAAACUUCAAAUUAACAUUCUUCUAAAGAGUGGCUGCCACUCAGCUCUAGCCACUUGUUCCCAUGUGAGAAUGGGGGAUGCCAAAUCAUCUGAUUUUUAAAAGAAGGUGAAAAUCCUAUUUUUAAAUGUCACUUCACUUAGAAAAGUUGGGGGGGCAUUAUGUAUUUGGACUGCCUUCAACCCCAAAAGGGCUACAGUAGUUUGUGGCCUCUUCUUUAUAUGUUCUUUUUGCCAACAGAGCAAAAAGAACAGUUCUUUUUACUACAGAAAGGAGAGAUCAGGGAAGAGAGAUCCCUUCCCUUUUUAAAAAAACAUGAAGGCCACCUUACUCCUACUUCAGUAAAUAGCUUUGUCUCUGGGUUUCCAUCCCCUAGAAAGUAGGGUACUAUGGUGAUACCCCUAGGGUGCUCUGCAUGGCCUGAAAUCACUUCCACUCCCACAAUCUACUCAAAAUACCCAUUCCUCGCUGCACCUUGAGCUUAUCUGGACAUCAAGAGGAAAGGGGUCUGAUCUUUCAUGCUAAAAGAUGAACACAAUGGCACUCAACCUUUGCACACAUUUGCUGCUCCAAGCCUUUGUCCAUUCCAAUCCCUCUUUCCUUGAACGUCUUCACAUAGCUAACCUCUUCUCAUCCUUAAAGUCUCACCUUAGGCAUCCAUUCCCUCCAGAAGGUAUCCCUUCCACUGGCUCUCUUGGUACCUUUCAGCCAUGACACUGACUUGACCACACUGGAAUUCAGUUUCCAGUCUGUCACCUUCACUUCAACCUAGAAGACGCCCGUGCCCUCAGUGAGUACUCAGUAAGGUCUAGAUGUCCGCCCAAAGCCUCAUGUGGUCAUAGGCAGCUGAAUCAAGACUGUGUGAUGCUGGGAUUGAGGGUGGGUGAUUACUAAAUCAGUCCACUGAUUGGUUUGGCACCACCCUAAUCCCAGUACCUGGAUACAAUAUGAGGGACAGAAAGAGGCUUGACUUCUCCCUUGUUGCUUCUGCUACUGUGUGAGCACCAUGAACUGCCAUCCUCUGCCAUACCACCCUGCCUUGGAGCCAGGACUGAAACCUCUACAAACUGGGACCUAAAUAAACCUUUCCCUCUGUAAUUUGGGGGGUAUUUUGUCUCAACAACAAGAGAAAAAACCAUCAGGGAAGCUGGACACUUGCAGCUCUCAUCAAGGUUGGCACCACCACCAAACAGGCUGGCCACACUGAUUUGCUCCUGGUUUACUGUGUCCACUACGAGGACUGUUGGAUCUUUUCUGCUUGUCUCUGAACUUUUGCUGUCACACCUUUAAACUCAAAGUAGAAGUGUCCACUGGAUAGGAAUAGGCCCUAGGCUGGUCAGUAACCUCAGAAGUAGGAGAGGAUGCAUCCUCUCCUUCCAGCUUCUAUAGGGGGAAGCAGAGCUGCCUCCUGUCUUCCUUGAGGUCUGCCUGAAAGGAAGAUUAUUCAGUGCUGG
rnacentral:lncRNA from 1 species